rnacentral:rRNA from 1 species
GAUGAACGCUAGCGAUAGGCUUAACACAUGCAAGUCGAGGGGCAGCAUGGUCUUAGCUUGCUAAGACUGAUGGCGACCGGCGCACGGGUGCGUAACGCGUAUUCAACUUGCCUCACAGAGGGGUAUAACCCGUCGAAAGACAGACUAAUACCGCGUACCCUUUGCAUAGGGCGUCCUGGCCCAAGGCAGUGAAAUUCGCUGUGCGAUAGGCAUGCGUCCCAUUAGCUAGUUGGUGAGCUUACGGCUCACCUAGGCGACGAUGGGUAGGGGAACUGCGAGGUUGAGCCCUCAGACGGGGACUGAGACACGGACCAGAGUGCUACGGGAGGCAGCAGUGAGGAAGAUUGGUCAAUGGGCGAGAGCCUGAAGCAGCCAAGUCGCGUGAAGGAUGACUGUGUUAUGGAUGGUAACCUUCUUUUAGACGGGAAUAACAAGAGUCACGUGUGGCUCACUGCAGGUACCGGAUGAAUAAGCAGCGGCUAACUACGUG